GUAGCCAAACUUUCAUACAAAGGUAACCAUUUUAGUUUUAAUUUGUAAGUAACCAAAUAAUCAUAAAUAUUUGAUGAUUUACCAUUGUUUCUUUCUCCGAUCGGAGCUCUCUUUGUUCGAUGGAGGCUAUCUUUGCUUGUGGGACAUAUAUAGUUCAGAUGUGUGCACAAACUCUGUUCUGCUUCAGCACUUGAUAAAUUCAAGACAUACAGAUCACUGGAAUCCGUUUUCCAAGCUUCCAGAUAUAGGUAAAUCGGAAAAUGACAAACCCAGAGUUCAUACAUCUUUUAAAUUCUACAUCAACAAAUGAGAUAACACCAGACAACUACAUGGUAAGCCUAUUAUCUUAAGUCCUAGCCUAGUACCAUAACGGGGAAAAAAUUGGGUUAAACCAACUUGAGUCGAGCGUCGAAUUGUCCUGCUGUUCAUAUGUGGUCAUAAAAUUACUGAGCCUAAUUUUUUUUUAAAUCUCUAACAAUAACCAAGAAACAGAUAGCUUAGAAUCAGCAAAAAACCAUGCACUUUGUUGGGUUGAGGUUUUUAGAUUCUCCAGGCAAAGAUACAUUAUUUUCCGCACCAAAAACCUUAGAGCCGUGAAAAGGGUUCCCAGAACCCAAGUUAUCUCUGUGAUAUGAAGCAGGAUUGAGAUUUGGCUUUGUUCCACUAUAGACUCCAUCAGUUCAUUCUCCAGAAAUAUGAUUGGAUAGACUGCAAUUCGGCAAAACUGAAAUAAGAGUAUAUAUUAGGAGGAUGAAGGAGCGGCAGAGGAGGAAGAUAAAUGGGAGAAGAGAGGAGGCAGUAAGAGAAUGACGGAUGAGAGAUGUUGGGUUUGUUUUAG
rnacentral:lncRNA from 1 species